GAUGAACGCUGGCGGCGUGCCUAAUACAUGCAAGUCGAGCGAACGGACGAGAAGCUUGCUUCUCUGAUGUUAGCGGCGGACGGGUGAGUAACACGUGGAUAACCUACCUAUAAGACUGGGAUAACUUCGGGAAACCGUAGCUAAUACCGGAUAAUAUUUUGAACCGCAUGGUUCAAAAGUGAAAGACGGUCUUGCUGUCACUUAUAGAUGGAUCCGCGCUGCAUUAGCUAGUUGGUAAGGUAACGGCUUACCAAGGCAACGAUGCAUAGCCGACCUGAGAGGGUGAUCGGCCACACUGGAACUGAGACACGGUCCAGACUCCUACGGGAGGCAGCAGUAGGGAAUCUUCCGCAAUGGGCGAAAGCCUGACGGAGCAACGCCGCGUGAGUGAUGAAGGUCUUCGGAUCGUAAAACUCUGUUAUUAGGGAAGAACAUAUGUGUAAGUAACUGUGCACAUCUUGACGGUACCUAAUCAGAAAGCCACGGCUAAUUACGUGCCAGCAGCCGCGGUAAUACGUAGGUGGCAAGCGUUAUCCGGAAUUAUUGGGCGUAAAGCGCGCGUAGGCGGUUUUUUAAGUCUGAUGUGAAAGCCCACGGCUCAACCGUGGAGGGUCAUUGGAAACUGGAAAACUUGAGUGCAGAAGAGGAAAGUGGAAUUCCAUGUGUAGCGGUGAAAUGCGCAGAGAUAUGGAGGAACACCAGUGGCGAAGGCGACUUUCUGGUCUGUAACUGACGCUGAUGUGCGAAAGCGUGGGGAUCAAACAGGAUUAGAUACCCUGGUAGUCCACGCCGUAAACGAUGAGUGCUAAGUGUUAGGGGGUUUCCGCCCCUUAGUGCUGCAGCUAACGCAUUAAGCACUCCGCCUGGGGAGUACGACCGCAAGGUUGAAACUCAAAGGAAUUGACGGGGACCCGCACAAGCGGUGGAGCAUGUGGUUUAAUUCGAAGCAACGCGAAGAACCUUACCAAAUCUUGACAUCCUUUGACAACUCUAGAGAUAGAGCCUUCCCCUUCGGGGGACAAAGUGACAGGUGGUGCAUGGUAGUCGUCAGCUCGUGUCGUGAGAUGUUGGGUUAAGUCCCGCAACGAGCGCAACCCUUAAGCUUAGUUGCCAUCAUUAAGUUGGGCACUCUAAGUUGACUGCCGGUGACAAACCGGAGGAAGGUGGGGAUGACGUCAAAUCAUCAUGCCCCUUAUGAUUUGGGCUACACACGUGCUACAAUGGACAAUACAAAGGGCAGCGAAACCGCGAGGUCAAGCAAAUCCCAUAAAGUUGUUCUCAGUUCGGAUUGUAGUCUGCAACUCGACUACAUGAAGCUGGAAUCGCUAGUAAUCGUAGAUCAGCAUGCUACGGUGAAUACGUUCCCGGGUCU
rnacentral:rRNA from 1 species